rnacentral:rRNA from 1 species
GACGAGCCACACAAACGUUAUUCGGAAUCACUGGGCUUAAAGGGUGCGUAGGCGGUGCGGUAAGUUGGAUGUGAAAUCCUACAGCUUAACUGUAGAAGUGCAUUCAAAACUACCGUGCUUGAGGGAGACAGAGGUGAGCGGAACUGAGGGUGGAGCGGUGAAAUGCGUUGAUAUCCUCAGGAACACCGGUGGCGUAAGCGGCUCACUGGGUCUCUUCUGACGCUGAGGCACGAAAGCUAGGGGAGCAAACGGG